CAUGGGGCAUGGCAGUAGAGGCCCGUGGUGGGCAUGCUUCCUACAGCAGGCAGAGCUGAGCCUCAGGGCCUGGGGGUGCUGCCAAAGACCUGGGGCUGCAGCUCACCAGCUCCCUGGCUCUGCUGGCUGUGGCUGCUGGCUCGCUCGGCUCAGAUCUGCGUAUGCCAGACUUGAGGUGAUUCUUGCACCAACCUGGCAGCUGUCUUCCAGGACCCUGAGGAUUUACCCCAUGUGGACGUUACAACUGACCAUCACAAGCCGAGCACGAGACAGGAUGGAGACUGGUGAAAAAGGAGGAACGCCUUCUGGAGUUUCACCCAGGAAGAUCUAGUUCUGUUUGUGCCUGAAGGGAAAGAAGACCAGGGAUCCCAGCCUUCCUUCUCCCUCAUGUGAGUGACCGUAAUCCAUGGGGGAAUUCAUCUCUUGCCCUCACCAUGG
rnacentral:lncRNA from 1 species